AUAAUUUAGCGAAAUGGUUGUAUGGCAAGUUAUCGGUUAAAAUCUACUAAAGGGAAUUGCUCUCAGAUAAGAAAAAUAAUAAAAAGAGAUAUUUCUUAGUCAUUAAGAAUUGCACAACGCAUCCUUAAUGUCUAUUAUAUAAUAAUUGCAGAUAAAAAACAUUUUAUCAAUCACCCUGUAAUGAACUAGUAAUGGAUAUGCUACACCUGUGUAAAGAAAACUAACUAUCCUAAUUAUAUUUUAUUUUUAACACUUGUUUUUUUUUCAAGGUUCUUCAUUGUCUGCCUAACAGGGAUUAUUGUUAUCAAGGUUCCAAAUUUUGGUGAGCUGAUGGCACUGGUUGGUGCUUCUUCCUGCACACUACUGGCAUUUAUCCUACCAGCUGUCUGUCAUCUCAUCAUUUUCAGGUCGGAGCUGAGCAGCUACGACAAGGUGUUCAACUACACCCUCAUUGUCCUCGGCAUAUCUGGGGCUGUGGUCGGAACUGUGGACACUGUGCUCAAUGCAAAACAUUGAAUUUGGGAACAGUGUAUUUUUACUAAUUUAUUAUAGCAAUCCUAGGUAUUUUGGGAUUAAAAUUUUUUAACGCAAUUUUUGUGCGUUAAACAUGCAUUUUUAAAAAGUAUUUAAACAGAAGAUAACAUUCCACUUGACUGAUGAUCAGUUUUAUUUUUAUAUUUACAUAAUUAUGGUUUUAAACGGAAUAAAAAGAAAACAGAUUUAUUUAUUAAUUUUGCAGAGAUAUGAAACAUAUUUAUAGCUUUGCUGUAAUUGCUGAAAUGUAUUGAAAACCUAAUUUUUAAAUCAUGUAAAAAGUGCUCGAAUUCAGAUAAAUUUAUCAGUUCGUGAAGAAAAUGUGUCAAAAGUGAAAUAAUUGUGGCCAGAAUUUGUUAAUAUGUUAAUUGUAUAUUGUUUUACCAGUGUUAAUAUGCUUUGUGUGAUAAAUGUACAAGAAUAUGUAAACACUUGCAUAAUACUUCCCUCAGUGCUACGAUUAAUCAAAUAAGCAAAAUACCCAUCGAAUUUAGUGCCUCUUACAUAUAUUAUAUAUAUUUUUAUAUCUAUCAAACUGGUGUUUAGUGUUUAAUACAUUUUUCUUGGCCUUGUCUUCCUUGCUCAAACUUUUUGUUAUACAAAAAAUAUAUAUUUAUACAUUCAA